GACGAACGCUGGCGGCGUGCUUAACACAUGCAAGUCGAACGCUGAAGGCUCAGCUUGCUGGGCUGGAUGAGUGGCGAACGGGUGAGUAACACGUGAGUAACCUGCCCUCUUCUUUGGGAUAACGGUCGGAAACGGCUGCUAAUACCGGGUAUUCACUGUCCUUCGCAUGGGGGGUGGUGGAAAGGUUUUUUCUGGUGGGGGAUGGGCUCGCGGCCUAUCAGCUUGUUGGUGGGGUGAUGGCUUACCAAGGCUUUGACGGGUAACCGGCCUGAGAGGGUGACCGGUCACAUUGGGACUGAGAUACGGCCCAGACUCCUACGGGAGGCAGCAGUGGGGAAUAUUGCACAAUGGGCGAAAGCCUGAUGCAGCGACGCCGCGUGAGGGAUGAAGGCCUUCGGGUUGUAAACCUCUUUCGCUCAUGGUCAAGCCGCAACUGUGGGUUGUGGUGAGGGU
rnacentral:rRNA from 1 species